rnacentral:rRNA from 1 species
AGUCGACGCCCAGCAUGGGAGUGGCGCACGGGUGCGUAACGCGUAUGCCACCUACCUAUAACUGGGGGAUAGCCUUCCGAAAGGAAGAUUAAUACCCCAUAGUAUCCUUUGAGGGCAUCUAAAGAGGAUUAAAGAUUUAUCGGUUAUAGAUGGGCAUGCGUGACAUUAGCUAGUUGGUUGAGGUAACGGCUCACCAAGGCUACGAUGUCUAGGGGUUCUGAGAGGAUGAUCCCCCACACUGGUACUGAGAUACGGACCAGACUCCUACGGGAGGCAGCAGUAGGGAAUAUUGGGCAAUGGACGCAAGUCUGACCCAGCCAUGCCGCGUGCGGGAUGAAGGCCUUCUGGGUUGUAAACUGCUUUUAUCUAGGAAGAAAACGCCCAUGCGUGGGAAACUGACGGUACUAGAUGAAUAAGCACCGGCUAACUCCGUGCCAGCAGCCGCGGUAAUACGGAGGGUGCAAGCGUUGUCCGGAUUUAUUGGGUUUAAAGGGUGCGUAGGCGGCCUAUUAAGUCAGUGGUGAAAGCCAACAGCUCAACUGUUGAACUGCCAUUGAUACUGAUAGGCUUGAGUACAGACGAGGUAGGCGGAAUUGAAGAUGUAGCGGUGAAAUGCAUAGAUAUCUUCAAGAACACCGAUUGCGUAGGCAGCUUACUAGGCUGUAACUGACACUGAGGCACGAAAGCGUGGGGAUCAAACAGGAUUAGAUACCCUGGUAGUCCACGCCCUAAACGAUGGAUACUCGACAUACGUGAUAGACUAUGUGUGUCUGAGCGAAAACAUUAAGUAUCUCACCUUGGAAGUACGACCGCAAGCCCCCCCCUCAAAUAAAUUUUCGGGGGUCCGCGCAAGCGAAAAAGCAUGUGGUUUUAUUUGUUGAUAAGCGAGGAACCUCCCCUGGGCUAGAAUGCAGUUGGGCGGUGGGUGGAAGGUCACUUCCCCUCCGGGGGCCGAGUGUAAGAAAAUGCAUGGCUGUCGUCCCCUCCUUCCGUGAGGUGUUGGGUUUAAUUUUGCAGCGAGCGCAACCCCUAUCUCUAGUUGUUAUCACGUAAAACCGCGGACUCUAGUGAAACAGCCGUCGUAAGACGUGAGGAAGGAGGGGAGGAUGUCAAGUCAUCAUGGCCUUUAUUCCCAGG